CAGGUAAAGCCAAUGAUUAGAGGCAUUGGGGACGCAACGUCCUCGACCUAUUCUCAAACUUUAAAUAGGUAGGAUGGCUCGGCUGCUUCGGUGAGCCGUGCCACGGAAUCGGGUGCUCCAAGUGGGCCAUUUUUGGGUGGCAGAACUGGCGAUGCGGGAUGAACCGGAAGCCGGGUUACGGUGCCCAACUGCGCGCUAACCUAGAACCCACAAAGGGUGUUGGUCGAUUAAGACAGCAGGACGGUGGUCAUGGAAGUCGAAAUCCGCUAAGGAGUGUGUAACA
rnacentral:ncRNA from 1 species